GCCUGAGGAAUGAAAUACAACUGGGUGUCCAGAAAGAAAAGGGCAGGGUCUUAGAGGAAGAGUUAGUAGUUUCUUUGUUAAAGGAUAUGUGAAAUGUUCCUGAUAUGUUCCCGAUAUGUUAUCCUGCCUUUUUCACCAGCCCUGCAAGAAAUGGCACUAUGUAGAUUGAGAUAAAGUUUCAGCACCCAGAUAAACCAAAUGGUUACAUGUCUUUAAGGAUAAAUAUAUCCUUGGAAUUGGAGACUAAGAAAAAUUUCAGGAACCAGGCAGUGCUGGAGAGAGUGUGAGGAACAGAAAAAGCUCAAAUGGACUAAGACAAUGGAUAAAGCCCCAACAAAUGAGCAGCUGGCUUGAUGCUGGAUGUUAAUGCAUUUGGCAAACAGCAACAAACACUCUGCAAGAUUCUGUAACGUAUGGAGAUAUUUGAGAUAAUGUAACCAAAACAUGAAAGUCAUUUUCUGGCAAAAUGGAAACCUGUAUCCUGUCUUGUAAAUGUUAAUAGGAGGGAAGCAGCUUAGCCUCCAUCUGGUACCUACCAAGCGCUGGGAACUUUUACAGGUAACUCAUUGCAGCCUUUACAGCUGCAGAUCAUAAUGGUGCUGGAGAUUAGAAACAGUAAUCUUCGGCAUCAAGAUUAUUUUGUUUUAUUGAAUGCUGUAGUAGGAAGGGACUGUCAUACAGCAGACGUUACUGCUCCCCAAAAUAAUUGAGUAUUCCAUCUAUUAAAAAGAUUCCAAAUUCUAGUGUGUGGAAAAAAGACCAAACAAUGGACUUCAAGAUGCAGAAAAAAAAAAAAAUCUAGUUCUUGGUUCCGAAAGGAUUUCUGUUCAGAUGCUCUCUGUUAUUUUGAUAUAUAAAAAGGAGUGUGUCUGGAUUUUGUAUGAAGUAUAGGACCAAGGAGAGAAACUCCUCUUGGGGCCAUCAAGUAUUUUAUAGCAUUGUGGUAAUGAAUGAUUAAAUAGAUGGAGAUAGCAUAGUUCUCAAUAUAAACACCCAAAUAAAUUAGUGAGAGGAGACUCAAAGUUCAGCAUUUAAAAAUUUUAAAAGGAACAUAAUUCUUU
ensembl:lncRNA